rnacentral:rRNA from 1 species
GAGCUCAGAUUGAACGCUGGCGGCAGGCUUAACACAUGCAAGUCGAGCGGAAACGAUUCUAGCUUGCUAGAAGGCGUCGAGCGGCGGACGGGUGAGUAAUGCAUGGGAAUCUGCCCGAUAGUGGGGGACAACCUGGGGAAACUCAGGCUAAUACCGCAUACGUCCUACGGGAGAAAGCAGGGGAUCUUCGGACCUUGCGCUAUCGGAUGAGCCCAUGUCGGAUUAGCUAGUUGGUGAGGUAAUGGCUCACCAAGGCGACGAUCCGUAGCUGGUCUGAGAGGAUGAUCAGCCACACUGGGACUGAGACACGGCCCAGACUCCUACGGGAGGCAGCAGUGGGGAAUAUUGGACAAUGGGCGCAAGCCUGAUCCAGCCAUGCCGCGUGUGUGAAGAAGGCCUUCGGGUUGUAAAGCACUUUCAGCGA